AGGUGGCUCCAUGCUGAUUCAGCGGCGGACGGGUGAGUAAUGCCUAGGAAUCUGCCUGGUAGUGGGGGACAACGUUACGAAAGGAACGCUAAUACCGCAUACGUCCUACGGGAGAAAGCAGGGGACCUUCGGGCCUUGCGCUAUCAGAUGAGCCUAGGUCGGAUUAGCUAGUUGGUGAGGUAAUGGCUCACCAAGGCGACGAUCCGUAACUGGUCUGAGAGGAUGAUCAGUCACACUGGAACUGAGACACGGUCCAGACUCCUACGGGAGGCAGCAGUGGGGAAUAUUGGACAAUGGGCGAAAGCCUGAUCCAGCCAUGCCGCGUGUGUGAAGAAGGUCUUCGGAUUGUAAAGCACUUUAAGUUGGGAGGAAGGGCAGUAAAUUAAUACUUUGCUGUUUUGACGUUACCGACAGAAUAAGCACCGGCUAACUCUGUGCCAGCAGCCGCGGUAAUACAGAGGGUGCAAGCGUUAAUCGGAAUUACUGGGCGUAAAGCGCGCGUAGGUGGUUCGUUAAGUUGGAUGUGAAAUCCCCGGGCUCAACCUGGGAACUGCAUCCAAAACUGGCGAGCUAGAGUAUGGUAGAGGGUGGUGGAAUUUCCUGUGUAGCGGUGAA
rnacentral:rRNA from 1 species